rnacentral:rRNA from 1 species
UACAGAGGUGGCAAGCGUUGUUCGGAAUUACUGGGCGUAAAGGGCGCGUAGGCGGCCUUCUAAGUCAGACGUGAAAUCCCCCGGCUUAACCUGGGAACUGCGUCUGAUACUGGGAGGCUUGAGUAUGGGAGAGGGAUGUAGAAUUCCAGGUGUAGCGGUGAAAUGCGUAGAUAUCUGGAGGAAUACCGAUGGCGAAGGCAGGUCUCUGGGCUGACACUGACGCUCAUGCACGAAAGCGUGGGGAGCAAACAGG